CAUUUUGACGGUUCCUCACAUGAUGACCGUGUCGACAAGGAUUUGAUGCGUCUUAAUAAUUAAACCAGCCUGUUAAUCGAAUACAUUGUUAUACCUGGGUCUUACAAAACCAGGCAAACAUAGAGAUCUGCAAGCUUAUUUUCCUCGCUGCGAAUCCUGUUUGUCACUGGUGAAGGUUAGCUAAAACUGUAUAGCAAGGUUAGCAAAACAUUACUGUGAAGAUGAUGAGGAAGACUGUUACGACGAAGCUUCUGGGAUCCAUGCGAGGGUCCCCAAGCACCGAGUAAACUAUGCCGUGAAUGCUGUUGCGAGAGAAUUGAUCAAAAGUAGGGAACUGGAGAACGAUGAGUUGCGACCUCUGUACAUGGAUUUUCAAGCAACAACACCAAUGGAUCCAAGAGUUCUGGAUGCAAUGCUUCCCUAUCAAGUUAAUUAUUAUGGUAACCCUCACUCCAGAACACAUGCAUAUGGCUGGGAAAGUGAAAGUGCAAUGGAAAAAGCUAAAG